UUGCUUUAUUGGACAACAGUUAGCUUUCUUAGUGUUUCUUGGAGUGUGCUGGCCUCAACGAAUCUGAUAUCUCCUCAGCACUUUGUGAGAGUCAGCUCUGCUCCUUCAGUCCUUAAAGAAAUGAAAUAUAAGAAGCACAAGAGUUACCAGCAUCACUGCUGGACCAAGGAAGACAGGAGGAAGGAAAGAGGGCAGCAGCCACUGGGACCACCUGGAGUGCCCUGAAAGGAUACUGUGGUCAUCAUUCUUGAUAUUAUACUUGGCAGGAUGAACAGAAGCCAUGGUCUUGUGAAGGAUAAUUCUUACUGCUUCUAUGACGUCAUUUCUAGAAAUUUUUGAGAUAUCAAUGAAGAGGGAAAGAUCUUACUCUGGUAAUGGAUGUGCCAGCCAAGAGUCUUAGUGGCGAGAGGGGAGAUAAUAACCCUGGGAAAAGGGGGAAGUGUUCUGACAUGAGCAAGCCUGUCCCUUCUCAAGGAGAGCUCUUCUGCUUCUUGCCACUGUGAACGUCUGCCUCCGAAAUCAAGAAUGAAAUAAAGCCUUCCUCUCUUCCUUCAGUUAUCUUCCUCAGGUUUUUUUUUUAUUGAGGACAUAACAAUGUAAACCUCCUGAGUCUAGCCAAGUAAGACAAUUUGUUAUGGCUUUCCUACAGAGGAUGAGUAAGCAUCGUGUUAGAGAAAUGGGGUCGUCAUUUGAACUUGGUCCACUCAGUCUUU